rnacentral:rRNA from 1 species
UGGGGGGAUUAGUGGCGAACGGGUGAGUAACACGUGAGUAACCUGCCCUUAACUCUGGGAUAAGCCUGGGAAACUGGGUCUAAUACCGGAUAUGACUCCUCAUCGCAUGGUGGGGGGUGGAAAGCUUUUUGUGGUUUUGGAUGGACUCGCGGCCUAUCAGCUUGUUGGUGAGGUAAUGGCUUACCAAGGCGACGACGGGUAGCCGGCCUGAGAGGGUGACCGGCCACACUGGGACUGAGACACGGCCCAGACUCCUACGGGAGGCAGCAGUGGGGAAUAUUGCACAAUGGGCGCAAGCCUGAUGCAGCGACGCCGCGUGAGGGAUGACGGCCUUCGGGUUGUAAACCUCUUUCAGUAGGGAAGAAGCGAAAGUGACGGUACCUGCAGAAGAAGCGCCGGCUAACUACG